GAUGAACGCUGGCGGCGUGCCUAAUACAUGCAAGUCGAGCGAACGGACGAGAAGCUUGCUUCUCUGAUGUUAGCGGCGGACGGGUGAGUAACACGUGGAUAACCUACCUAUAAGACUGGGAUAACUUCGGGAAACCGGAGCUAAUACCGGAUAAUAUUUUGAACCGCAUGGUUCAAAAGUGAAAGACGGUCUUGCUGUCACUUAUUGAUGGAUCCGCGCUGCAUUAGCUAGUUGGUAAGGUAACGGCUUACCAAGGCAACGAUGCAUAGCCGACCUGAGAGGGUGAUCGGCCACACUGGAACUGAGACACGGUCCAGACGCCUACGGGAGGCAGCAGUAGGGAAUCUUCCGCAAUGGGCGAAAGCCUGACGGAGCAACGCCGCGUGAGUGAUGAAGGUCUUCGGAUCGUAAAACUCUGUUAUUAGGGAAGAACAUAUGUGUAAGUAACUGUGCACAUCUUGACGGUACCUAAUCAGAAAGCCACGGCUAACUACGUG
rnacentral:rRNA from 1 species